rnacentral:misc_RNA from 1 species
AAGAACGUAGUUCACCAGAUUAAUUGGACAACUAAAGAAGUUGUGAGUAAUUGAGGUAAUACAGAUAAACAUAAAACACACUGUAACUAAUAUUCUGAGAUGUGUGCAGCUUAACUUACAGGUUGCAGUUCAUUGUUUAUCUACAUUAUGUAUAAACUCUGCAGUGAGGUAUCUAAAAUACUAGUACAUCUCUGCAGUCAAUACAAUGCAGAGGUGAAAUGAGAUAUCUGUAACUUUUGGCCUGAUAUCAUAUUUCACAAGCUGUUACAUAGUAAGCAACCGUUUCUUUAAUGUCAUGCUUCAUGUCCUGAGCCUCUGAUAAAAUGGAUAGCCGUUGCAGUUGUCAAUCCCAAUAAUCCACCAGCUACAACCUGAGGAGGAGUGUGACCAAGGAGUUCUCGUAAUGGCCUACUAUCUGCAAGAGGAUGUUCAGAAGGAAGUUCGUAUAAAAUUUGAUUCAGGACCUCUGCCUGACGUCCAGCAUGUAAUCUUACACCCGUGGCAUCAUACAUGACCACACACGCUAAAACUAAUGCACAAGCAAAGAGCGCCCCCCCAAAGCCCUCUUGCAAACCAACAGCCACAGCUAGAGCAGUUACUGUUGAUGAAUGGGAUGAGGG